GCAGCAAGCAAAGUUUUGAAGCUGCGUCGAAUUUGCUGAAACUAAGAAGUAGAAAGACUGUUUACAUUUCACCUCUGGACAAAGAAUGAUUGAUUACAUCUAAACAAUAAUAAUAAGGAAAAAAAGCUUGUGUCAGCUGUCUUCUCUGAGCAGCGGUCUUGUGAUCACCGGCCUCAGUAUAAUAAAGGUGAGAUUUGACAGAACUACACACCCAUCUGAGGCCUACCUGUUUUAAUUCAUGAUCACCCCGGAUACUUCUACAACUAACCCGCUUGGUGUCUGAUGUUUAUGCAGUCUGGGCACUAGUAUCUGUUGGCUUGCUGACUAUCACUGACGAUGAAGUACUUCUCCAAAUCUUGACCCCUUGUCUUCUGCCAUCAUUGUUCAGGGUAGUACUGCAAAGAACUGUCUCCAGGGUCUACCUCCAACAUUUGCUUCCCGACCACCAUGUGCUACGUUUGCAUCACUGCUACAUGUGGGUUACCCUGAUACUGUGAAGAACACCUACAAUAUGAUGAUUGACUUGGGACAGAAAAAAAAAACAUUGGCAACUUGUGUGGCCAAUUCAUUGCCGUAUUUAAAAUCAUUGUACCGCUACCUCCAUUGAUUAACAUAACCAAAAGCAGAUUGUUUUUGCUUUGUUUCAAAGUGUUUGUAAUACAAGUUAAAACUACAUUGAAAAAAAUAUAUCAUCUUUAACUUUGAACUGUCACUACAUUUGAUUUAAUUAUGUGUGUGAAGAAUAGAACAUUGUUGUUAUGAAUUUGUAAUAGAUUUUUGAAGUAUUUAAGUUACUAGAGUAACGGUAACUUUUUUUAAGGCAAUUGGUCAAAACUAGAUUUCUGUUCAAGUAAAUACAACUUAGAAGUUCCAAGUUGCUGGAAAUGUUACUUGAUUUAGCUAAAUUUAAAUGAGUUGUUUGAAAUACGUACAUAGUAUAGUACUUAAUUUAGUUGUUGAAAAUAGUGAUUCUGAGUUACAAGAACUUGGGUGUAAGUUUACAACACUUAUAAAUAAACCUUUGUUAGUACAAAUUACUAUUCUUAUUUCACUUUACUUGUUUUUUUUUCAAGGCAAUCGGUUUGCAUGCUUUUUUAAAAUAAGGUUUACUCAUUAUAAUUUACAGUACAGUCAACCACCCUGCCCAGUGAACACUAGUUAGAUCAAUUCAGAACACUGUAACUGUAAUAAAGUACUGUUACUUUACUGUACUACACUGUAUGAUUCUUUCAGCUCUCUCUCCAGUGCUAGGAUGCAUUUUUAAAGCAGUCACCUGUGCACCUGUUCAUAAUUUCCUGAGAUGCUACUGAAUGCUUGCUUAUGGAUA